rnacentral:rRNA from 1 species
UACGUAGGGGGCUAGCGUUGUCCGGAAUCAUUGGGCGUAAAGCGCGUGUAGGCGGCCCGGUAAGUCCGCUGUGAAAGUCGGGGGCUCAACCUCGGAUGCCGGUGGAUACUGUCGGGCUUGAGUGCGGAAGAGGCGAGUGGAAUUUACGGUGUAGCGGUGAAAUGCGUAGAUAUCGUAAGGAAGACCAGUGGCGAAGGCGGGUCUCUGGACAGUCCCUGACGCUGAGGCACGAAGGUCAGGGGAGCAAACGGG